rnacentral:tRNA from 1 species
GCCCAGGUGGCGGAAUGGUAGACGCGACAGACUUAAAAUCUGUUUUCCGAAAGGGAGUGGGGGUUCGAGUCCCUUCCUGGGCACCA